rnacentral:rRNA from 1 species
UACGAAGGGCGCAAGCGUUACUCGGAAUUACUGGGCGUAAAGCGUGCGUAGGUGGUGAGUUAAGUCUGAUGUGAAAUCCCCGGGCUCAACCUGGGAAUGGCAUUUGGGACUGCAAGGCUGGAGUGUGGCAGAGGAGACUGGAAUUCCUGGUGUAGCAGUGAAAUGCGUAGAUAUCAGGAGGAAUACCGAUGGCGAAGGCAGGUCUCUGGGCUGACACUGACGCUCAUGCACGAAAGCGUGGGGAGCAAACAGG